rnacentral:rRNA from 1 species
GAUGAACGCUGGCGGCGUGCCUAAUACAUGCAAGUCGAACGGUGAGUAGCAAUACUCAUAGUGGCGAACGGGUGAGUAACGCGUUGGUGACCUGCCCCAAAGUGGGGGAUAACAGUCCGAAAGGAUUGCUAAUACCCCAUGUGAACCGGCCUGUUAGAGAAGCUGGUUGAAAGGUGAAAAUCGCUUUGGGAGGGGCCUGCGUCCCAUCAGCUAGUUGGUAAGGUAAUGGCUUACCAAGGCAUCGACGGGUAGGGGACCUGAGAGGGUGACCCCCCACAAUGGAACUGAAACACGGUCCAUACACCUACGGGUGGCAGCAGUAGGGAAUAUUGCAUAAUGGGCGAAAGCCUGAUGCAGCAACGCCGCGUGCGCGAUGAAGGCCUUCGGGUCGUAAAGCGCUUUUUGAGGGGAUGAGGAAGGACAGUACCCUCAGAAUAAGUCUCGGCUAACUACGUGCCAGCAGCCGCGGUAAAACGUAGGAGGCAAGCGUUAUCCGGAUUUACUGGGCGUAAAGCGCGUGUAGGCGGUUCGUUAAGUUGGAUGUGAAAGCUCCCGGCUCAACUGGGAGAGGUCGUUCAAAACUGGCGAACUAGAGGGCAGUAGAGGGAGGCGGAAUUCCGGGUGUAGUGGUGAAAUGCGUAGAUAUCCGGAGGAACACCAGUGGCGAAAGCGGCCUCCUGGACUGCACCUGACGCUCAGACGCGAAAGCUAGGGUAGCAAACGGGAUUAGAGACCCCGGUAGUCCUAGCCGUAAACGAUGUAGACUUGGCGUCGGUGGGUUCAAAUCCAUCGGUGCCGCAGCUAACGCGAUAAGUCUACCGCCUGGGGACUACGGCCGCAAGGUUAA